GGAAUCCUAUAUGCUGAAAGAAUGCCAUCAUAUAAUGCUCAGUUCACCUUCGGCGUUCUUCAAUUCUUUCUUGCCCCCUAUUUAGCUGCUUUAAUCUUUCCUCCAAGAUAGAACUUGAAUUAGGGCAUGCUCUUACAUUAGCCUGGAGAGAGCUAGGCCCACCCCUAUCCAUGGGUCCCGACCACCUUGAUUUUAACUUGUCUGGUGGUUUUUUAGCUGAUGGCUUAUCCUUAUCUUCACUAGAGUUAUGAAUCUCCUCAAAUCUGAAGUUCUUUUGUGCAUUAAAUUAAGGUCUCACUUCUAUCAAAUCUAUUUGCUCUUGACUCUUUCAUUCUUCAUGUUACUCUUUUCUCCAUUCAUGAUACCUUGUUUUAAUGCAUUUUUAAGGUAAUUUUCCUAAAAAACACCUUGCACGACAGAAUCAAGUGUAUCCAUUAUGAAUACUCUAAGAGUCAAUUUACCAUCAUAAACAUCAAUUAAAGCUCUAGUAGUUGCUAGAAAUGAUCUUCCUAGUAUCAUUAGUAUCUUAAAGUCCUCUUCCAUAUCUAAGAUCACAAAGUCUACUGGAAAUAUAAACUUAUCAACCUUAACUAGCACAUUUU
rnacentral:lncRNA from 1 species